GCCGGAUUAGCUCAGUUGGUAGAGCAGCGGUUUUGUAAACCGAAGGUCACGGGUUCAAAUCCUGUAUCCGGCACCA
rnacentral:tRNA from 1 species